rnacentral:lncRNA from 1 species
CUUACGUGACCCACGCAGUCUCUGGCUUCCACCACCUUCUCUCUCCCUGACCCACACCUCCAGCCCCAGCCUUUCCCCAGAGCAAGGGACUCCUACCCCCGACUCUGUGGGUGAUGAUGCCCCCUUGCUCAUCCUCAACCCUGUCUCUCCGACACCCCAUGCCUGCAGACCCAGGAUCCAACCACUUCCAUGGCUCCUGUUGCUACCACCUCAACCUCCCAACUUCUGCCCUUGUCCCUGCUUCAAAACGCUCCCGUCCUGCCCUCCCCAGUGACCCCCAACUCAGGGUAAAAGGCCAGCAAGUGUGCAGCUGCCCCCCAGCCCUCUGCUGUGACCUCUUGAACCUCUUCCCCUGCCCUUCGCCCCUCACUCCAGCCGCUGGGAUCUCCUUGCCGGUUCUCAAACAUUCCAAGCUGGCUC